GUGCUCGCUUCAGCAGCACAUAUACUGAAAUUGGAAUGAUACAGAGAAGAUUAGCAUGACCCCUGAGCAAGGAUGACAUGCACAAUCUUGAAUCGUUCCAUAUUUUU